rnacentral:tRNA from 1 species
ACCUGGCUGGCUCAGUCGGUAGAGCAUGCGACUCAAUCUCAGGGUUGUGAGUUCGAGCCCCAUGUUGGGCA